CAAGUUAGGCACACAUGUCCGACAACAGACGUAUGUAAACCAGUAUAGGAGCAAUCCACUUGCUGUCAGUAAGAAACAGGCGUCAGGAAAAAGAGACAGUUAAAUGUUACUUGUCGCUCAAGUUCUCCACUAUCUAAACUUUAUCACCUCCAUUAUACCAAUGACGUAAAGCACAGAUUUAGAAACACAAAAGUGUUGAAAUUUGUUUUAACGGUCGUUCCACCGUAUCAUAAAGUGAAGCAUCUAGCCCGAUGUCGCUCAAGUUUUCCAACACGGCCCCAAGAAUAACUCGCCUGCUUGGAUCUAUUCAUUGGCUAGACCUCUGAUUCUGGUUGGAUGUUUCGUUUUUUUCGCACAAACGGCCUCAAAUCGUUGAGAGAAUUCUCUGUAAGUGUGAACCGUCCAUGCGUGUCCCGCUGAGAAGAAAUGGCAACCAGCGGCCAACCAAAAAACCCACAACAUGAGCAUAGAUGGUAAAAACCGGUAAAACCGUCAGGGAUGUCGCCCGUCACAGAGGAGUGAAGAUAGCUUGGAACUUAAGUACGACAAAGCAUUACCACGAGAGGAACGAAAAAGCUGCUGCAAGACGGCUAGUGAAAGCCGAAAGGCAUGUCGAAUUCAAGUUGAGCUGCUGCUUGCUGUCCGGAAGCAAGCAAUCCCGCCGUUGCGUUCGGAAUGGAGGAGGAUUGAACAGGAAUCUAAUGACUGUCAAUAGGUGGCUGUCAAUAGGUGGCUGAAAUGAUGUCCACCAGGUAGCGCGAGUGUCUUCAGCACUGACACAGAGCGGCCAUUUUGUUUCAAGACGCAGUAGAGGUGGGUUGUUGGUCGUGACGUUCUCACGAUGAAAAUUAAAAGGUAAUUUGGCUCGUAGAAACCAAUUUGCCAAUUCAUUCAAGUUCAACUCAGGCUUGGAAGUGCCCGUACAUUGCCGAAAUGGCGUGCCUCGUGUGUCUUGCUGCCUGUUCUUAGGCGUACAUCUCAUCCCAUGCAACAGCAAAAAGUAUAACAAACACUUCUUUAACACUGUUGGUUACCUUGUUGCAGCCAAAUGGUGAAAGGUGUGACGAAGACAGAUGGAACCAUUGUAUGCAGCAUGCGGUUGCUGUGAUAUUCAGAAGUAGCAGUACUGGUGUUAUCCUGAAAUUGCUGUGCUGUUGUAGCUAAGCUGUUCCAUCUGGGUUCCUGACUUGAAAAUUUUUAUGUUGUUCUUUGCCUGCUAGUAUUUUGUGUUGUGACUUCAAAUAGUUUGAUCUGUCGUCUUUUGAGUUUUCAUUCAAUCAUGCAGUAUACGACUGAGGCAACCUGAUCAAUGUCAGGUUUGACACAGUCGAGAACUGCUAGAUAAAACAAGCUUUCUGCGCCAAACAAAUAAUAAUUUGCAUAUAACUUG
rnacentral:lncRNA from 1 species